UGCCCGAUGGUGUAACGGUAGCACAACGGAUUCUGACUCCGUUUGUUUAGGUUCGAAACCUGAUCGGGCAGCCA
rnacentral:tRNA from 1 species